CUCAGUCAGAGUGUCAGACAGAAUAGCAAUAAGUUAAAAUUAAAAAGUUAGCUCAUCGUAUUCGUAAAUUCGUAGUGAUUCCAGUGAUUCCUGAGGACCAGUUUGUUUCAAGAAUCAAGACUUCAAGUUAGGAAGUUUUUUCCAGAAAAGUGUAUUGUAGGCUAGGCCUAGGCUACUUCUACUUUGUACAUGAAUAACUAUAAAGUCUAUAAACAGGGUUUAUGAAGAAAAUAAACAGAUUUGAAGUGGAAAAGGAACUUAAACUAACGUGGCAAGAAAGAUAAUGUACAUAAUAUCUGAUUAUAUCGGAACUGGAGUGUAUCAGAGACUGGAGUACAAUACUUUAAAAAGCUGCUAACAAGAUUAAUCUCUUACUUCCUACACUAAAGCACAAAUUAAACAGAGGCAAUAGAUUUGAAGAGGAGAAGGAACCUUAAUUCAUUUUGCAAGAAAGAUAAUUUACAUAAUCUGAUAUAAUACUUUAAAGAGCAGCUAAAAAGAUUAAGUCUUUACUACACUUAUAGUAGGAAUGAAAAAGAGGAAAUAGAUUUGAAGAAGAGAAGGAACCUUAAUUCAUGUUACAAGAAAGAUAAUUUACAUAAUCUGAUAUACUACUUUAAACAACAGCUAAAAAGAUUAAGUCUUUACUACACUUAAAGUAGAAAUGAAACAGAGGCAAUAGAUUUGAAGAGGAGAAGGAACCUUAAUUCAUUUUGCAAGAAAGAUAAUUUACAUAAUCUGAUAUAAUACUUAAACAGCAGCUAAAACGAUUAAGUCUUUACUACACUUAAAGUAGAAAUGAAAGUAAGUGAUCCACUACGGUACACAAAAUUAAAUUUAAAGAAUAGGCUACAUGGUUUUAUAUGGCUGAUGCAAUAUAAUUUGAAAAAAGGAACAUAGAAGCAACGUUGUCUUUUAAAAAAGUAGUCUUAAAAUAUUAUGGAACAUAAAAGUCAUGCAAAAGAAUCAAAUUGUCUCGAGUAGGCUAUGUUGUAAGCCAUUUAAUACACAUAACAAUAUUUGAUCAAGAGUUGUUUUAAAGUUGAUUGACACAUGUACAUAACUGUCAAACAUUAAACAAAUCAAACAGAAAAAAAACGUACAAAGCCAACCAAAUGAUUUCAAUCAGUUUCUAGCAUGUCUAAAAAGUUAAAAGUCAGAAAUUGACAACUAAAACAUGUUAAAGAUCACGAAAAAGCCUUUGCCUGAGUGCCCAAUAUGUAGAAAAAUUUUUCCAACUCUAUUGGCAAUGAAGUGUCACAUAUAUUUACACACGGGCGAGCGUCCAUUUAGAUGUUUGACUUGUCGGAAAACAUUUGUUCAAAUAUCUAAUAUAAAGCGUCAUUUAUUGACACAUUCUGGGAAGUGUCCUUAUAAGUGCACUUUUUGUGGAAAAUCCUUCAAAACUAAGGAUGAUAUGAAGAUUCAUACCUUGGUUCACACAGGAGAGCGACCUUAUAAGUGCACUAUAUGUGGAAAAUCUUUUAAAACCAGGGGCAGUAUGCACAUUCAUACAUUGUUUCACACAGAAGUGCGACCUCAUAAGUGCACUAUAUGUGGAAAAUCCUUCAAAACUAAGAAUCAUAUGAUGAGUCAUACAUUAGUUCACACAGAAGAGCGACCUCAUAAGUGUACUAGCCUAUAUGUGGAACAUUCUUCAAAACUAAAAAAGUUAUGAAGAGUCAUACGUUAGUUCACACCAUAGAGCGACCUCUCAAGUGCACUACAUGUGGAAAAUCCUUCAAAACUAAAGAAGGUAUGAAGAGUCAUACGUUAGUUCACACCAUAGAGCGACCUCACAAGUGCACUUUAUGUGGAAAAUCCUUCAAAACUAAAAAAGUUAUGAUGAGUCAUACAUUAGUUCACACAGAUGAGCGACUUUAUAAGUGUACUACAUGUGGAAAAUUCUUUAAAACUAAGGACAGUAUGAGAAAACAUAAUAUAUUAAUUCAUAAACAAGAGCGACCUCACAAAUGCACUACAUGUGGAAAAUCCUUCAAAACUAAGAAUUAUAUGAUAAGUCAUACAUUAGUUCAUACAGAAGAGCGACCUCAUAAGUGCGCUAUAUGUGGAAAAUCCUUCAAAACUAAGGACUAUGUGAAGAGACAUACAUUAUUUCACACAUAAGAGCGACCUCAUUAAUGUACUUUAUGUGGAAAAUACUAAUGGCUAUUUUAACCAGUAUAAAUAAGUACACACCGGAGAGAGACCUCAUAAUGUACUAUAUGUGGAAUAUCCUUAAUAACUAAGGGCAAUAUGAUGCAACAUACAUUAGUUUACACAAAGAGCAAGUUCACAAGCGCAAUGCAUGGGGAACAUCCUUCAAAAUUAAGAACAAUAUGAAGAGUCAUACAUUAGUUCACACAGAAGAGCGUCCUCAUGAGUGUACUAUAUGUGGAACUUCGUUCAAAACUAAGGAAAUUAUGAAAGGUCAUAAAUUUGUUCACACCAGAAAGCGACAUCAUAAGUGCACUAUAUGUGGAAAAUCAUUCAAAACCGUAAACAAUAUGAAGCACCAUGUAUUAGGUAUCACAGAAGAGCGACCUCAUAAGUGAACUAUAUGUGGAAAGUCCUUCAAAAGAAAGGAAAUUAUGAAGAAUCAUACACUCGUUCACACUGGAGAGCGACAUUAUAAGUGCUCGACAAGUGGAAAAUCCUUCAAAACUAAGGCAAAUAUAAAGCAAACAUAUAAUAUAUCACACAGAAGAGCGACUUCAUAAGUCACUUCAUCGUCCAAAACUAAGGAAAUUGAGAAAGGUCAUAAAUUUGUUCACACCAGAAUGCAACAUCAUAAGAGCACUGUAUGUGCUCAUAAGUGUACUAUAUGUGGAAAGUCCUUCUAAAGAAAGGUAAUUAUGAAGAGUCAUACAUUCGUUCACACUGGAGAGCGACAUUAUAACUGCACUACAUGUGGAAAAUCUUUAAAACUAUGGACAAUAUGAUGAAACAUACAUUAGCCACAAAGAAGAGCGACCUUACAAGGCCACUAUAUGUGGAACAUCAUUCAAAACUAAGGAAGGUAUUAAGAGUCAUACAUCAGUUCACACCUAAGAGCGACCUCAUAAGUGCACUAUAAAACUAAGGACUAUAUGAAGAGACAUAAAUUAUUUCAAUUAUAUGUUAUAAUAAUUAUUAUAUCAACGAACACAUAUGUCCUACACUCCUUGUCUGAUACUGGUAUAGUUCGAAACCAGGAAAGUCCUACAAACAUAUUCAUGAUAACCUAACCUAACAUAGCCAUACAUAAGCGCUGUAUAAGGGUGGCCUCCGCAUUAUACUAAAGUACCAAAUUGUUAUAUUUAUUAUAAAUAUAUAUGAAUUUUAACGAAUAGUGUUUUUGGCUUUUGAAGACAUCAAAAUGAAAAGUAAGUCGUCCCGGGUCU